rnacentral:rRNA from 1 species
CUCCCGCCGGCGACCGGCGCACGGGUGAGUAACACGUAUGCAACCUGCCCGUGGCAGGGGGAUAAGCGGGGGAAACCCCGUCUAAUACCGCGUAACGCGGCCUAGGGACAUCCCAAGGCCGCCAAAGGGAGCAAUCCCGGCCACGGAUGGGCAUGCGGCGCAUUAGCUAGUCGGCGGGGUAACGGCCCACCGAGGCGACGAUGCGUAGGGGUUCUGAGAGGAAGGCCCCCCACACUGGUACUGAGACACGGACCAGACUCCUACGGAAGGCAGCAG